UAUCGGCAACAAAAAUUCAAACUUCUCUGUUUUUAUAAAAUCAAAUAUUUUACGUUCUGCGCGUAUAUAUUUCUAGCUUUUUAUAUUUAAUUUGGACAUCAAAUUUUCGCCAAUGUAACCAUGGCGCAACCACCGCCACUCAGCUUCCCAGCUGCUCAUAUUUAUAUCUCGUUUAAUUGAGGGCGUUAACUAAAUAUGGAUACAUUAAAUAAAAAGGAUUACCUCAAAUUGCAGUGCGGACGUGAUUCGUCGAAGUCGGUUUGAAAUCUAUAAAGACCAAUGUACAUUUGUGUAACUAUAACUCAUUGCAUAUCUCAAAAGAUCACUAUAUCAUAUAUAGCGGCCAUGGUAACGAAAUGGUCUUGCCUUUUUUUUGUGGAAAUGUUUUUAUCAAAAGAAAACAGUUUACAAUUCCAGCUUCCAAUUCCAGCUCAAUUUAAUUUUUCGUAUCUCCACAUACAUACAUACAUGUGUAAUUCCUGUUGACCCUGCAUAUAAUAUAGUAGCACUUUCUAUUCGA
rnacentral:sRNA from 1 species